AUCCAGCUGAUGAGCCCCAAAUAGGACGAAACACGCGUCCUGGAU
rnacentral:hammerhead_ribozyme from 1 species